AUGUUGAAUGACACUAGGGGCGCUCUUUGGUGGAGCUAUCAGCUGCUUAAUCCAGACAUCAGGCGAUGCUUUGAAUUCUGCAAUAUUUUCCCUCGAAGAUCUGGGUUCAGCAGGCAAGAGUUAGUUCGUCUGUGGAUAGCAGGAGGGUUUGUAAAGACAUCUUGUUCAGAAAAGGACAUGGAAGAUGUAGCCGAGGACUACAUUCAAGAGUUACUUUCAUGCUCAUUUCUGCAACCAGUAGUAGAUGGUUCCUUCGGAUGUGACUUUACAAUUCAUGAUCUGCUGCAUGAUUUAUUAGACAAGGUAACUGGAAGUGAUUACUUCAGAAUCGAGAAUGAAACGAGCCAGAGAGGAAAUAAAAGCUGGAAAGGAGAUAUCCCUCAGGAUGUCCGCCAUCUUUUUAUUCGGAUCUAUGGUGGAGAAUUGAUUACUGAUAAGAUCCUUGGUUUGGAAAAUUUGCGCACUCUCAUUCUUUAUUAUGGUGGAAAGGAUACAACAGUUGACGAAAAAUUCAUUGAGUGCAUAUGCAAGAUGCUGCCAAAUUUGCGGGUACUGGCCAUUGAUUUAAGCUGGGCUAAUACGGGGCCCAAUUUCUCAUUGCCAGAAUCUAUUAGUCAGUUAAAGCACCUACGGUAUCUUUCGUUCAUAGCAUAUUCAUGCAUGGUGAUUUUACCAAUCGCACUAGCUAAACUUCACCAUAUCCAGAUGCUAGAUUUUGUUGAUUGUGAAUUUUUGGGAUUUGGUUCUACUGGCCUUAUCAACUUGCGGCACCUGUUCCUCCGCACAAAAGUGAAAUGUCCUAACAUAGGAAGGCUGGUCUCGCUCCAAACAGUACCUACCUUUGAAGUAAGGAAUGAACAAGGGUAUGAGGUAAAGCAGGUGAGUGACCUAAACAAGCUUCGUGGUAGAUUGGAGAUCAGUGGCCUUGAAAAUGUUACAAGCAAGGAGGAAGCCCUUGAAGCCAAUCUAGCUGCCAAGGAAGGGCUCACUUAUUUUAAACUGAAAUGGCAUGGGGGCGAUGAUAGUACAAGGUGCAGUCCAGAAGUUGAAGCAGAGGUACUUGAGGGCCUACGCCAUCCCGUGGGGCUUGAAGUACUGGAUAUCGAGCACUUCAAAGGUUCAAGCUACCCAGAUUGGAUGUUGAGUGCCCAGAAUGGUGAGCGAAAGGACCCGCAACUGCAUACACUUCGCUUCUCAUUUUGCGGCCCGCGAGGACCUGGCCCUGAACUUGCGGCCUUCCCUUGUCUUCGAGUGCUCGUUCUUUAUGACUGCAUCUGGGACGCCUUACCUGACAAUCUGGAGCAACUCAAAUCGCUAAAGCUACUGAUAAUCCAUCAUUGCGUGAAUAUCAAGGCGCUUCCAACACUGCCCCACUCUCUUGAGGAGUUCUGUGUAAAUUACGGUGACGCCGAGUUCAGGAAGAAUUGCCAAACAGUGGGGCAUCCAUGCUGGCUAAAGAUCAAGCACAUCCCCAAGAAAGAAUUUGCACCUACAUACAUAAGCUGGGAUGAGUUGCGGUCUAGGGCGCCGUGCAGUCAAUUCAUUUGA
rnacentral:rRNA from 1 species